rnacentral:rRNA from 1 species
GACAGAGGAUGCAAGCGUUAUCCGGAAUGAUUGGGCGUAAAGCGUCUGUAGGUGGCUUUUUAAGUUCGCCGUCAAAUCCCAGGGCUCAACCCUGGACAGGUGGUGGAAACUACCAAGCUAGAGUACGGUAGGGGCAGAGGGAAUUUCCGGUGGAGCGAUGAAAUGCAUUGAGAUCGGAAAGAACACCAACGGCGAAAGCACUCUGCUGGGCCGACACUGACACUGAGAGACGAAAGCUAGGGGAGCAAAUGGG